rnacentral:rRNA from 1 species
AACCUCCGCAAUGUGAGAAAUCGCGACGGGGGGAUCCCAAGUGCCAUUCUUAACGGGAUGGCUUUUCAUUAGUGUAAAGAGCUUUUGGAAUAAGAGCUGGGCAAGACCGGUGCCAGCCGCCGCGGUAACACCGGCAGCUCUAGUGGUAACAAUUUUUAUUGGGCCUAAAGCGUCCGUAGCCGGUUUAAUAAGUCUCUGGUGAAAUCCUGUAGCUUAACUGUGGGAAUUGCUGGAGAUACUAUUAGACUUGAGACCGGGAGAGGUUAGAGGUACUCCCAGGGUAGAGGUGAAAUUCUGUAAUCCUGGGAGGACCGCCUGUUGCGAAGGCGUCUAACUGGAACGGUUCUGACGGUGAGGGACGAAAGUUAGGGGCGCGAACCGGAUUAGAUACCCGGGUAGUCCUAACUGUAAACGAUGCGGACUUGGUGUUGGGGUGGCUUUGAGCUGCUCCAGUGCCGAAGGGAAGCUGUAAGUCCGCCGCCUGGGAAGUACGGUCGCAAGACUGAAACUUAAAGGAAUU